rnacentral:rRNA from 1 species
UACAGAGGAUGCAAGCGUUAUCCGGAAUGAUUGGGCGUAAAGCGUCUGUAGGUGGCUUUUUAAGUCCGCCGUCAAAUCCCAGGGCUCAACUCUGGACAGGCGGUGGAAACUACCAAGCUGGAGUACGGUAGGGGCAGGCGGAAUUCCGGGGUGUAGCGGUGGAAUGCGUAGAGAUCCGGAGGAAGACCGGUGGCGAAGGCGGCCUGCUGGGCAGUUACUGACACUGAUGCGCGACAGCGUGGGGAGCAAACAGG